rnacentral:rRNA from 1 species
GACGAACGCUGGCGGCGUGCUUAACACAUGCAAGUCGAACGAAGUGGCGAACGGGUGAGUAACGCGUAAUCAACCUGCCCUUCAGAGGGGGACACCAGUUGGAAACGACUGCUAAUACCGCAUACUGAAGGAGGGGUUUGCGUCUGAGUAGCUAGUUGGAGGGGCAACGGCCCACCAAGGCGAUGAUCAGUAGCCGGGCUGAGAGGAUGAACGGCCACAUUUGGACUGAGAAACGGCCCAAACUGCUACGGGAGGCAGAAGUGGGGAAUCUUCGGAAAUGGAGGAAAGUCUGACGGAGCAACGCCGCGUGAGUGAUGACGGCCUUCGGGUUGGAAAGCUCUGUUAAGCGGGACGCGGUACCGGAAUAGAAAGCCACGGCUAACUACGUGCCAGCAGCCGCGGUAAUAC